ensembl:snRNA U4 U4 spliceosomal RNA
CGGUGGGCGCAGUGGCAGUAUCGUAGCCAAUGAGGUUUAUCCAAGGCGCGAUUAUUGCUAAUUGAAAACUUUUCCAUUUUUAAUAUAGAUGUUGCCUUUUUUGUUAGUUUUUUCUGAUACUUUCCUGCAGUGUUCCAUAAAG